rnacentral:lncRNA from 1 species
CUUUCUCCCUCCCUGUGUCAGAAGCAUGAAGAGAUUUUCUUCCUACACUCACGAUGAGAACCUGGUGGAGCUCCUAAAGAUUGGCUCUCCUGAUGGUUGCACGAUGGCUGCAGCAGUUCCAGAUGUCCCAUCGAGACACAAAAAGAUCCCAGAUGGAAGAUGCCAUCUCCUCCUAUGUGCCUCUUUUUAAGAGUUACACAGGAGUGAGGAGGACCACCAAACCAAACUAAGACUCGGAGGAAAAAAAAAAAAGAAAAAGAAGAAAAUGUCUGCUAGGUGCCAUGCCACUCAAACAGCCAAUGGAAAGGCCCACGUGGCGAGAGCUAAGGCUUCCUGCCAACAGGCAAGUGAGGAAGCCCAGUCAGCUGCCUGCAGUCCUGACCCAUGAAGAGCCUGACUGAAAGUGAAUGAGCAACCCUGAGCUAGGACAACCCAGCAAGGCCCAUCCUGAAUUCCUGCCCACAAAAACUCUGAGACAGUAAAUGUUCGUUGUUUUAAACCACAAAGUUUUGAAGUAAUAGAUUAAUUAGGUAACCAAUUGGGACUGCAGUAUUCCUUCAGGGAACUUGAAUAGUCAUUCUGUAUAUGGAAAUUGUACACAUCUUAAAAUUGCUGGACUAAAGUGAGAAGAGACUGUCUUGAGUCAACUGGAUAAAGUGGAAAAAAAAUUAAUUUGGAAAUCAAUAGAAUUCUGGCCUUGGCUUUGUCACUAAGAAACACUUAUAAGUAAUUUCACUUCUCUUGAAAUUAUGAUCAUUAUCUAUAACAUAAAGGAACUGAGCUAAAUGUUAUCUGAUGCCUCUUUAGGCUCUCAAACUCCAUAGAUUUAUGACAUGCUUGAAAUUCACUUUGUUUCACCCUAAUUCAGAGCUUUGUUUCACUAGCUCUAGAAUUAGAUGCCUUGGGUUUAAAUUGCAAUUCAGUCACUUAUUUAAAUAAUUGUACUUGGAUGAGUGAUGUUGCCAUUUUAAGCCUCAGUUUCCCCAUAGAUUCAUUGAGAAGAUCAAAUAAGAUGAUGCAGAUAAAGCUCUUAGUUUGUGGGGACACUUAGUAAGUGCUUAAUAAAUACAGGCAGUUGUGUUAUCUAUGUUGUAGCAGCACAUUUUGUAAAAUAAAACAAAGUUGAAAUCACAGAUCUAUAUUUUUAUGUA